rnacentral:rRNA from 1 species
UACGGAGGGUGCAAGCGUUAUCCGGAUUCACUGGGUUUAAAGGGUGCGUAGGUGGCUUGGUAAGUCAGUGGUGAAAGCCCGGAGCUCAACUCCGGAGCUGCCAUUGAUACUGCUUAGCUUGAAUCAGGUCGAGGUGGAUGGAAUAUUACAUGUAGCGGUGAAAUGCUUAGAUAUGUAAUAGAACACCGAUUGCGAAGGCAGUUCACUAGGCCUGUAUUGACACUGAGGCACGAAAGCGUGGGGAUCAAACAGG